GCGGAGGAGCGGAGGAGCGGAGGAGCUGAAGCCCCGGAAGUGCUCAGGGCCGGGCCAUGGCCGCACAGCGACAUGGCGGCGCCCGCGGAGGAGGAGGUUGCUCCAGGAAGUGCAGAUGGUUGGUGAAGGCUGUGGUUUCAGGGAGCUCAUCUUUCGUCCUGAAAAGGGGACUUAGGAUGUCGGUGGUACAUGGUCUGACAGUGGGAUGGCUUGUGGAUCAUCUCUCUUUCAUCAACCAGUGUGGCUAUGAGAUCUGUGACUCCUUUGCACACCCUGGUGGUGUCAUUCACAGUACUUCUGUCACAUCUACUGAAGACUGUUACAGAUUUUCUACUUUUGCUGCCAUGCCCUCAUCAAGCGAUGGUCCUCCUUUUGAUCCCGGAGAUGCUGUAGAAGCAGAAAGUAAAAGAGCAAAAAUGAGAUAUGUGUUUUGGGAGGAGUUCUUGGAUAUUCCUAAGCCCUAUAUAGCUGCAGCUUGUGAGGAGCAGCUGUGUCCUGCCCUCAGGUGAGUCAGGCAGAAGUAAAGGCCAACAACAACGGAGAGGAAUACCAAGAAGGAGCAAAGAGUGACACUGGAGAUUCUCUUGGCACUGCUAGGAAGAAAGGUGAAAGGAAAUGUGUAUUCAACCAAGGUGAACUGGAUGCUUUGGAAUACCAUUCAAAUGUAAGUUGGAAAAAAUGUAUAUUUUGCAAGUAAAAGCUACUUGACUUUGGGCAUGUGCAGAGUGGAGGGCAUGGUUGCAAACAAAUUCUGUUUUUGUAGCUUGUUCCACUGGUGCAAAGAAGGAAAGGGAAAGGAAGGUCAAUCUCUCCAAUCCUUACUUGAAUUCAUGCUUACAGAGUAGAUCUUUUAUGUAGAUAGAUGUGAAAUUGCAUCUGAGACAUUACAGAGAGCUGGAAGCUGCAUCCACAAAGUAACUUGUACUGCUAUAGAUAACUGAACAUUAUGAUGUGAUGAGUUGAAUAUUAGGAAGUGAUCGAUUUGGUAUUGGCAGCAUAAUCCAUUCUGAAGAUCAGCUCCUCAGCAUCAGGACACUGUGCUGAGUUACUCAAAGCUUUUGGGACCUUUGAAGAAAAUGUGCUUCAAAGUAUCUUAUUCUGCAAUUGAAAAAAAAAACAACCCAACUUUUCUCUAACAUUUUAUAUUGUCCUACUAAAGGAUCAUGCAUUAAUUUGAAUUCAAAUCUAUGUGCUUAUGUCCGUGAUGUGCUGGUGAAGAUACAGCUGAUUAACACUGAAGCAUAAUAGUGAAUCGUAGAAAUACAAUCUGUAGGUAAUGUUUGAUGUAUUUUACUGCUUUCCAAAACAGUGAUGUGAGCCUGAACUGGGAGCAACACUUGCUUUCUUUCCUUUGGCAAAGAUGUUAGUCAUAUUGGGCUUUAUUCUUAAAUCUGUUCUGCUUGAACUACAUUUAGAUGAUUAUGCUUUUUUCCUUUUACACGGCAGCAAUCUUGUAGUAAACAUUUGCAGCUUGCUGAUACAGUGUAGAGGUCCUGUGAUUAUUUUUGUGAGUAAGCUGUGCAUGUGCAAAACCACCAUAAAGGAAAAAACUCUGAAGUUCAGCAUGAAGUUCAACAUGAGUAUGAAAACUUCAGGGCAAAAAUAAAAUCAAUCAACAGUAGAAAUAAGGAAAGAAAUGAAGUCUUGAUGGCUUGUUUAACUUCAAAUGAUAUUUGGUAAAUAUGUGGAAAAGACAGUGUUUGGAAAAAUCUGUGACCCCAGUUAGCCUCUUCUAUCAUUCACAGAUUAGGAAGUAGUAUUGGGUUUUUACUAUGUUUGUGUUGUUGAAGGUUAUAGCUCUGCAAGUCAACCCAGAUUAUUUUGGCAUGUAUUUGUUUCUAUAGAGUCAUUGUCAAAAAACCCAAAGAAGCCAAAUUUUGUUUCUGCAAGUGAAUCUAUGAAUUUUAGCUAUUGAAUCCGUUUAUGAAUUUCAGUCAGUGGCAACAGUACAAAAUAUGCUAAAUUCCUUCAGUAGCCAUUUGUUAAAAUUCCUGCUUCAAUAGCUUGAUAGACAGGAGACUUUGUCCACUUUGUCCACCUGUGAGUUCACGCAUGCAUGUAAGAGGGUGUCGUUUCUAAAGAUAUAUUCAUUAAUUCUGUUGAAACAGUAUGAACUCCUCUUAUCACAAACCCAGGUACUAAAAAUUUAUGACUGUACUCUCUGAUAUCUAGAUGUGGCACUAUUAUUAAAAAAAAAAUUCUUCCCCUGUCACUAAUCUGGGAAUUGUAAUAAAGCAUAUUUUGUAAAACUC